AAGAAAAGAGAAGAGAAGAGAAGAGAAGAGAGAGAAAAAAAAUAAGGAUUGCCCACUGAAAUCUGCAACUCUGUGCCAGCUGGCACACCCGGCACUUCCUCAGCCUGGACUGAUUUACAAGGUGUCCUCACUCAGGAAAGAACACAUUGCACUCCUCUCCAAACUUCUGUGACAACAACUUCAGCAGCCGGUGCUUUGGUGCCUCAAAUCAGAAGACAUCAGGGGAUUGGAGGGCAGCAGUAAGGCAGAGACUUUGCCUCCUGGCCUGGGAAGGAUGUCAGCCAUGUCUGGGCCGCUAUUCUUAGACCCCCUGGAGAAGCUGGACGGCCAGACAGAGUCUAUCCUCACUGCAGCCCGGCUUGUCCGCGGAGGAUGGGCAGAGGGAAAGAAGUGGCAAUUUUCCAAUUCUGAGUGCUUAGCAAGUCAACACUCUGUGUCCAGGUCAGAUGGUACUCAGGGUCCAAAAUAUGCUGAGAUCUGCCUGACGGGCCCCAGAGGCAGGCAGGUUCUCAUUGUGAGCAGCAGGAAGACAGCUGAGGACAAAGAGACUGGCUCUGAAAAAAAGGCAGAUGAAGCACAACAGACUGAGCAUGCAUCCUCAGAGAACAGACAAGCAGACAGCACGACAGGUCUCUGCAUCCGUGUCCGGGCAACUGGAUGUCGCACCACAUACAGACAGUCCAGAGGGGUUAAGGCCCCAGUAUUACCAGUAAUUGCUGAGAUAUAAGUUAGCUGCCAUUUAUUCCAGAAAGAACAAUGCAUUGAAGGCAAAAUAAAAUACUUCAUUACACUAUUCUUGGCUAUGAUAAACGUAUAAAAGCCAAUGUAGACUUUAACCAAACUUUGUUUUAAACAGAGGACUCUGAUGGCAUGAAAUCUCUUGCUGUGACUGUGUUUUUUUUUCAUUUUCUGUUUUUUUUUCAUUCAAAUUUUCAUUAAAUGCAAAUGUGUGCAAAAUGUAACCAUGUAUUGUUGCUGUUUUUCUCUUAUGGGUACAGUAGAAUCAAUAUGGAAACUAUACUUUCUGCCAAUGUAAUAACUAAUGCUAUGGAGUGUUAAUAAAGAAUACCCAUCAACUGUGAAAAUAAUAGAUGUAGCUACCAUGACUUAAGAGCUGGGCAUUUC